rnacentral:rRNA from 1 species
GACGAGUCUCACAAACGUUAUUCGGAAUUACUGGGCUUAAAGGGUGCGUAGGCGGUGGAGUAAGUCGGGUGUGAAAUACCAUAGCUUAACUAUGGAACUGCACUCGAUACUACUUUGCUAGAGUAAGACAGAGGUGAGUGGAACUGAGGGUGGAGCGGUGAAAUGCGUUGAUAUCCUCAGGAACACCGGUGGCGAAGGCGACUCACUGGGUCUUUACUGACGCUGAUGCCCGAAAGCUAGGGUAGCAAACGGG